rfam:Gasterosteus aculeatus cont1.007538, whole genome shotgun sequence.
CAAAUGGCUCUUUUAAGAGCCAUGCGCGUUAUCAUUGAGCAAACGU